rnacentral:rRNA from 1 species
AUGGCCUUCCCCUCUUUCACAUGGCCUUUCCGCCGCCGAGCCGGCCCAAGCAAACCCUCCGCCGCGGAGGGGAAGGAGGAGGACGCGGAGGCGCUCGGCGUGACGCCGCAGCUCCUCGACUUCCUCCGGACGCUCUCCCCCGACGCCUUCAAGUCGUCCGCCCUCCAGCUCCACCAAGGCACCCCCUCCUUCCUCCCCUCUCGAUUCCGCCCCCCUGCUAGUUCAGUCUCGAUUACUGACGGUGAUGCGCCAUGUUGUCUCGCAGGGGCCUCCGCGGAGGCGGCGGGAGAGCUCUCGGACUGGCAGCAGCGGCACGCCGUCCUCGUGCUCGCCAGAGCCAAGGAACUCGCUAAGGUCCGCUAUGAUCUGUGCCCACGCCACAUGAAGGACAAGCAGUUCUGGACAAUCUACUUCCUGCUCGCCAGGACCUACAUCUUGCCGUACGAGUUACGUGCCAUACAAAAAGAAAAGGUAAGAAGGAUGGAGACAGAGAACGGAAAGUCAAAAGAUGUGAUUGCUGUUGAGGUGGAGAUGCAGGAAUCAAAAUGCAGUAGAGAAUCUCAAACGUUACCAGAUGAUUCAGAACCUCAGGGUUCAUAG